AUUGAACGCUGGCGGCAGGCUUAACACAUGCAAGUCGAACGAGUGGCGGACGGGUGAGUAAUGCUUGGGAAUCUCGCUUAUGGAGGGGGAUAACUACGGGAAACUGUCGCUAAUACCGCGUACCAUAGUAUGAGCCCAUGUGGGAUUAGGUAGUUGGUGGGGUAAAGGCUCACCAAGACGACGAUCUCUAGGUGGUCUGAGAGGAUGACCAGCCACACUGGGACUGAGACACGGCCCAGACUCCUACGGGAGGCAGCAGUGGGGAAUAUUGCGCAAUGGGGGCAACCUGACGCAGCCAUGCCGCGUGAAUGAAGAAGGCCUUCGGGUUGUAAAGUUCUUUCGGUAGCGAGGCGUUACCUACAGAAGAAGCACCGGCUAACUCCGUGCCAGCAGCCGCGGUAAUUC
rnacentral:rRNA from 1 species